rnacentral:rRNA from 1 species
GCGCACCAGUCGAGAAACCUCCGCAAUGCACGCAAGUGCGACGGGGGAACCCCAAGUGCCACUCUUAACGGGGUGGCUUUUCAGAAGUGUAAAAAGCUUCUGGAAUAAGGGCUGGGCAAGACCGGUGCCAGCCGCCGCGGUAACACCGGCAGCUCAAGUGGUAGCCGCUUUUAUUGGGCCUAAAGCGUCCGUAGCCGGUCUGAUAAGUCUCUGGUGAAAUCCCACAGCUUAACUGUGGGAAUUGCUGGAGAUACUAUCAUGACUCGAGGUCGGGAGAGGCUGGAGGUACUCCCAGGGUAGGGGUGAAAUCCUGUAAUCCUGGGAGGACCACCUGUGGCGAAGGCGUCCAGCUGGAACGAACCUGACGGUGAGGGACGAAAGCCAGGGGCGCGAACCGGAUUAGAUACCCAAGUAGUCC